GGGCCUGUAGUCUAGUGGAUAGACGCUUGGCUUCUAACCAAGAUUACGUGGGUUCGAUUCCUACCAGGCCUACCA
rnacentral:tRNA from 1 species